UGGUGGCCGGAUCGUUUGUGCUGCCAGCUUUUGAGGUCAUUUGCUGUGCUGUCUGCUGGGAUUUUAAGUGUUGGUAGCUCCGUUUUUAUGGAGCUGCUUUUGCUGUUAGAUUUGGAUUCUGACAGCAGUAAUGGAUUUGCUGGAGGUUGUUUAAAUAUACUACUCCAGUUAUUUUUAACAGAUGCAAAAGUAAUGGCAGAAAACUUUGAGUUACUGGCUAAGACCCAGGAGCGAAGAGCUGAAGAGGAGAGGAUAGCUGUUGACUGUUGUGGCACCCUUAUUUUAGAAUUAUGAGGGUGCUACUUGCUGUUACUGCUACUGUACUGUGAGGGUGAAAAGAACAUACUAGGUGGUGAAAAUAAAAAAGGAGGAUUAAUUGGAGGGAGAGACACACAAGGGACACGCUUGCAACAGGCUGCAUCAUGCUUCUUCUCUCAGGUCAGGAAGGAUCCGGUUGCUUAUGGUUUGGUGCUUGGAUGGCUUGCAGCCUUGGGUAAGGCAUCUGGAACAGUUGCUUGCACUUGCAGCAUGGACAAGCAUGAUGGCCAGAGAUAAGGUUUGACAUUCGGCCCGGGGUCCAGCCCAGAACUAGCCCACCAAGGUCUUGGGCUUCAAUAGACCAACUGCAAGUCUGCAACAAGGGACGGACGGCAGUAUUCUGAUCACCACUGUGGAAGUUAGCGAGUUGAAUAAUCCAGUCUUUUUGUGGAAUGUGGAACAAGAUGCCCAAAGUGACAUACAAAGGAGUCCACCUGUAUCAAAUUCUGAUCGCCACUGGACUAAAUAUGGAGUUUAAGACUCCCUAACAAGGUCUACAGCGGGUCUUGGGUUGAGAAGGAAUAAUGUUCUUGGAGGCAUGGAGCAUCGUAUAAUUAACCGUGUGCGCCACUGUACGGGAGUACAGUAUAUGGUUUCUGAGCUUUUUGUCCGGACAUGUAUUUCCCUGGACAACACAAGACUACUGCAAGAGGGAAAAGACCAUUAAUCCUGCUUAGGAGGUUGUUCUUGUGUUGUGAUCUUGUGCUAUUUUGCUUUCUUGUGUUUCUACGCCUUGUCCCUCCGACUCGCAUCACGAUAUCUUUUUCUUCCUCGUUCUUAUGAUGUUGGUUCGCGCUUUAUGGCAUUUCAAUGAGCAGACUCCUUUGAGUAUAAUCAUAUAUACAUUGAAGCAUGAUCGACAUCCA